GGACAAUGAACUUAGAUCAUUUUGACCUCAAAUCAGGUAGGACUACCCGCUGAAACCCUUAAGCAUAUCAA
rnacentral:rRNA from 1 species